rnacentral:rRNA from 1 species
GACGAACCGUGCGAACGUUGUUCGGAAUCACUGGGCUUAAAGGGCGCGUAGGCGGGUUUUCAAGUCUGUGGUGAAAGCCUCCAGCUCAACUGGAGAAGUGCCUUGGAUACCGGCGGCCUCGAGGGAGGUGAGGGGCGUGCGGAACUUCGGGUGGAGCGGUGAAAUGCGUAGAUAUCCGAAAGGAACACCGGUGGCGAAGGCGGUUCUCUGGGCAUUACCUGACGCUGAGGCACG